ACUCCAAAGACAUGUUGCUGCACCUCUUUUUGCUUCUAUCUCACAUUAUAGGACUAACAGCUGGAGACUCAAUCACUCCUCAACAACCUGAAGUCAC